GACGAACGCUGGCGGCGUGCCUAAUACAUGCAAGUUGAGCGCUGAAGGUUGGUACUUGUACCAACUGGAUGAGCAGCGAACGGGUGAGUAACGCGUGGGGAAUCUGCCUUUGAGCGGGGGACAACAUUUGGAAACGAAUGCUAAUACCGCAUAAAAACUUUAAACACAAGUUUUAAGUUUGAAAGAUGCAAUUGCAUCACUCAAAGAUGAUCCCGCGUUGUAUUAGCUAGUUGGUGAGGUAAAGGCUCACCAAGGCGAUGAUACAUAGCCGACCUGAGAGGGUGAUCGGCAACAUUGGGACUGAGACACGGCCCAAACUCCUACGGGAGGCAGCAGUAGGGAAUCUUCGGCGAUGGACGAAAGUCUGACCGAGAAACGCCGCGUGAGUGAAGAAGGGUUUCGGAUCGUAAAACUCUGUUGGUAGAGAAGAACGUUGGUGAGAGUGGAAAGCUCAUCAAGUGACGGUAACUACCCAGAAAGGGACGGCUAACUACGUG
rnacentral:rRNA from 1 species